rnacentral:lncRNA from 1 species
UAAAAGAUACUCAACCAUACAAGAGAAGAUUAAUAUAAUACAAGAAAUGUCAACCGAAUUAAUACCUAACAUAUGAAAAUAAGUUAAUGAUUCACAAGACAAUUCAUUGGGUUUGUACACCAGUUAGCCCAAUAAAAAGCCUAUAGACCUUUAAUUCUAGCAGCAAACCAAUUCCAAGCUAAGACUUUGGCCCUAUCAAGCACCUCAACAACA